AUCAUCUUUUCUUUCUAUUAUAUUAUUCCUUUUCCAUCAUCUACCCUCCCCUUCUCUCUGUGUCUCUCUCGCAUAUUUCAGUAGCAGGAGCAAACUCCGGCUAGAUAAGUCAUAUCAGGGACCUGUUGGGAACCUGAGAGAGCUCAAUGAUGGGAGAGAGCGAGAAGGAAGCGACCCAGUGGACCUCUCUCUUCGCCGGUAUCAUCUCCGGCCUCACUUUAGGCUUGAUGUCCCCAGAAAUGGUGGCGGCGACAAUGGCAGAUGCACCAGAAGCGGAGGAGCAAGACGAUGCCCAAGAGAUGCCGGAGGCUAGCUGGGCGACUUCUCCCAUCUCCUGUUUCCGGCGUGGCCUCCUCGCCAGCGUGAACCAACAACGCCGUUAGUAGCAGUAGAAGGGGAGGAAAGCGAAGGCGGCAGUGAAGCGUUGCCGGACGAAGAGGAAAGUUCACCGCUGCUUGCUAUCUUCAUACGCUGUGAACCAACAACGCCGUCUGCUGCUCUAUUCAUCGCGAAGGCAUCACCGGAAAAGUGCAAGAAAAAGUGGUGGCUCGCCGGAGAAGAAGAACAUACAUGUGAAA